ACGGGGGGGGCAAGCGUUGUUCGGAAUCAUUGGGCGUAAAGGGCGCGUAGGCGGCCGGCCAAGUCGGGUGUGAAAUCCCUCGGCUCAACCGAGGAACUGCAUUCGAUACUGGUUGGCUAGAGUCCGGGAGGGGAUGGUGGAAUUCCCAGUGUAGCGGUGAAAUGCGUAGAUAUUGGGAAGAACACCGGUGGCGAAGGCGGCCAUCUGGACCGGUACUGACGCUGAGGCGCGAAAGCUAGGGGAGCGAACGGGA
rnacentral:rRNA from 1 species